UGGAAUUGGGGAGGGUUGGGGUUGAGAAGAGCUUGGGGGGGCUGGGGUGGUGGAUAAGGAAUAUAAAGGGACAGUGCAGCAAACCUGACCAACUGAUCUAAUUGAUCAGUUCAUUGAUUGCUGGAAAUCCACAUGAUGUGACUGUGGCACUCCAGGACCAGGAAUUCCUACUUCUGGGCUAAGGUGUAGGCUGGGUUGAGAUCCAGGGGGUUGAGUGGUGAUGAUGGCUGGGUGGAGGCCAAUGGAUAUGUGAAUGUUGGAGGGAAGGAGGGAUCAAUACCAGGGGUGAUGGAGGGGUGGAUGCUGGGGUUGUUGGGUUUGGUGGAGGCUGUGGUAAGACUGUGGGGGAGUAGGGGUGGAUACUAAGGGUGUUUGGUGGAGUGGAGGAUGGGGAAGGCUUGAUGCAGUAAGGGUAGAUUCUGAGUUCAGCUACAUUGUACAGUAGGUUACUCUCCCAUAUGGCUGAGUUGACUAUUCAGCUACUGUAGGUUAUUCCAAAUAUGGCUGAGUUGACUGUUCAGCUACUGUAGGUUACUCUCCCAUGCUAGUGUAGGUUACUCUCCCAUCCUACUGUAGUUUACUCCCCUAUGCUACUGUAGGUGACUCUCCAAUGCUACUGUAGGUUACUCUCCCAUGCAACUGUAGGUUACUCUUCCAUGCUACUGUAGGUUACUCUCCCAUGUUACUGUAGGUUACUCUCCCAUGCUACUGUAGGUUACUCUCCCAUGCUACUGUAGGUUACUCGUCCAUGCUACUGUAGGUUACUCGCACAUGCUAUUGUGGGUUACUCGCCCAUGCUACUGUAGGCUACUCUCCCAUGAUACUGUAGGUUACUCUCCCAUGUUACUGUAGGUUACUCCCCCAUUCUACUGUAGGUUACUCAUCCAUGCUACUGUAGGUUACUCACCCAGGCUACUGUAGGUUACUCUCCCAUGUUACUGUAGGUUACUCUCCAAUUCUACUGUAGGUUACUCUUCCAUUCUACUGUAGGUUACUCGCCAUGCUACUGUAGUUUACUCUCCCAUGCUACUGUAGGUUACUCUCCCAUGCUACUGUAGGUUACUCGCCCAUGCUACUGUAGGUUACUCGCCCAUGCUACUGUAGGCUACUCUCCCAUUCUACUGUAGGUUACUCAUCCAUGCUACUGUAGGUUACUCGCCCAGGCUACUGUAGGUUACUCUCCUAUGUUACUGUAGGUUACUCUCCAAUUCUACUGUAGGUUACUCUUCUAUUCUACUGUAGGUUACUCGCCAUGCUACUGUAGUUUACUCUCCCAUGCUACUGUAGUUUACUCUCCCAUGCUACUGUAGUUUACUCUCCCAUGCUACUGUAGUUUACUCUCCCAUGCUACUGUAGGUUACUCGCCCAUGCUACUGUAGGUUAGUCUCCCAUGCUACUGUAGGUUACUCUCACAUGCUACUGAAGGUUACUCUCCCAUGAUACUGUAGGUUACUAUCCCAUUAUACUGUAGGUUACUCUCCCAUGCUACUUACUGUAGGUUACCCUUACAUGCUACUGUAGGUUACUCUCCCGUGCUACUGUAGGUUACUCUUCCAUUCUACUGUAGGUUACUCGCCAUGCUACUGUAGUUUACUCUCCCAUGCUACUGUAGGUUACUCGCCCAUGCUACUGUAGGUUAGUCUCCCAUGCUACUGUAGGUUACUCUCCCAUUAUACUGUAGGUUACUCUCCCAUGCUACUUACUGUAGGUUACCCUUACAUGCUACUGUAGGUUACUCUCCCGUGCUACUGUAGGUUACUCUCCUAUGCUACUGUAGGUUACUGUCCCGUGCUACUGUAGGUUACUCUUCCAUGCCACUGUAGGUUACUCUCACAUGCUACUGUAGGUUACUCUCCCAUGCUACCCAUGCUGCUGUAGGUUACUCUCCCAUGCUACUGUAGGUUACUCUCCCAUGCUACUGUAGGUUACUCUUCCAUGCUACUGUAUGUUACUCUCCCAUGCUACUGUAGGUUACUCUCCCAUGAUACUGUAGGUUACUCUCCCAUGCUACUGUAGGUUACUCUCCCAUGAUACUGUAGGUUACUCUCCCAUGCUACUGUAGGUUACUCGCACAUGUUACUGUAGGUUACUCUCCCAUGCUACUGUAGGUUACUGUCCCAUGUUACUGUAGGUUACUCUCCCAUGCUACUGUAGGUUACUCUCCCAUGCUACUGUAGGUUACUCUCCCAUGAUACUGUAGGUUACUCUCCCAUGCUACUGUAGGUUAAUAUCUCAAUUGUAUCAUAAUAACUAUUGUCUGGUGUGGGAUGUGCAGUUGCGUAGUGCAGAGAAUAACAUGUACUGAUGUAGAUUGGAACAAACCAUCUACGUAGUGGUGAUGUGUAUGUUUUAAAUGUUAUUAUUACUCUUAUUUUAUUAAGGUUGUGUAUGUUUCUGCUGUUGUAAAGGAAUAUAACUUUCCAGGUGAAAUGUACCUUUGGAGAAAGUGAAGUGUUUGUGGCUUUCACUUUUUCAAUUUAAAAUAAAAUUAUUUGGCUUGCUUGAAAACCGUGCUUACAAAUGAAUGGUGAAUAUAGCUUCUCCAUGUGUUAAAACUAAUGUAUUGUUAUAAGUCACUGUGGGUGUGAGGUAGCAGUAAUAAAAUGCUGUUUUAUAACAUA